UCUGCCUUAUAGGCCAGCGGUCCCAUUAGAGUGCCCAACUUAAUGCUGGCAACUAAUGGCGAGGGUUGCGCUCGUUGCGGGACUUAACCCAACAUCUCACAACACGAGCUGACGACAGCCAUGCAGCACCUGUCACCGCGUCCCCGAAGGGAACCCCGACUUUCACCGGGUAGCGCGGGAUGUCAAACCUAGGUAAGGUUCUUCGCGUAGCAUCGAAUUAAACCACAUGCUCCACCGCUUGUGCGGGCCCCCGUCAAUUCCUUUGAGUUUUAAUCUUGCGACCGUAAUUCCCAGGCGGAAUACUUAAUGCGUUAGCUACGUCACCGAGACAAUUAGGAAUCCCGACAACUAGUAUUCAUCGUUUAGGGCGUGGACUAC
rnacentral:misc_RNA from 1 species